CCUACGGGUGGCAGCAGUGGGGAAUAUUGCACAAUGGGGGAAACUCUGAUGCAGCGACGCCGCGUGAGCGAGGAAGUAUUUCGGUAUGUAAAGCUCUAUCAGCAGGGACGUAAACAGACGGUACCUGACUAAGCAGCCCCGGCUAACGACGUGCCAGCAGCCGCGGUAAUACGGAGGGGGCAAGCGUUAUCCGGAUUUACUGGGUGUAAAGGGAGCGUAGACGGCAAGGCAAGCCAGAAGUGAAAGGGCAGGGCUCAACCCUGUACAUGCUUUUGGAAUUGUGGUGCUAGAGUGCAGGAGAGGUAAGUGGAAUGCCUGGUGUAGCGGUGAAAUGCGUAGAGAUUAGAAAGAACACCGGUGGCGAAGGCAGCUUACUGGGCU
rnacentral:rRNA from 1 species